rnacentral:lncRNA from 1 species
GUGAUUGGUGAGGCUCCAGAGAUUGUGGACAGGCUAUCGCCAACUUUGAGAUCAGCAGCUCGCUUGUAAAUUAUCUCUCCUUUGGUGUUAACUGGGACAAAGUGACCGGCUGUAAGCUCCAAGGUGUUGGCUUCGGUCUUGACUUGCACGAAUUCAGAGACAACAUCUAGAUCCUUGUGACCAAACGCGUAGAUAUCCGAAAAUGAAUUCUUCCCAACAGCAACCUGUAGAAACUCAUUAAUCAUGUGAAGCAAAGUGGAUUACUAGCUAGGAUCUUGCCUUAUCUCCAAUCUUAAGUUCCUUCAUGGUCUUCAUUUCUCCACUGUACAUAUGAACCAUUGCAUCACCUAGAUAGAUAUUGCAUGGUUACAUAGCACAGUGUAAUUUGUAGAGAAUAACUUUAUUACCUGGAAAGCAUCCAGGGUUUUGACAUAUUCCAUUGUUACAUGUGAAUCCAGUUAGCCCCGCUGUUGUGCAAUCAGCAGUAGUAGUGCAACUCACUAUAUUAGUAGCAAAUACAGUGGAAAACAAUCCAAGAAGAGAGACCACAGCAAACACAGCAGCUAGAGAAGCCAUUGCCUUUCAAAUAUACUUAAGAAGACACUAAGCAUAUGAAGCAUCAUUGGCCAUGCACUGCUUAAAUAGGAUGAACUUAAACGUAAUUACAUGUGAUAUGAUUUUCUGGGGAAGAAUAUGGGUGAGUGAGCGAAACAUCUUAGCUAUAUCAAUUGUCAAACAUCUAGUACAUAUAUUGUCUACCUAGUUCUAUAUUUUUAAGCAGGUGAUGCUUUGGUACACCUGUAUAAUGCGAUGGACUUUAAAAUUGGAUAAUUCCAGUCUUCAACUAUAGUAAUUGCACUAUUAUGAACUAAUAAAACCUUGUAAUAAAUUUUUUAAUAAAGUUCUUUAAAUGUUAGAAAUAUAUGUAAAGCUUUUUGCAAUUGCCAUAAAUUACUUAGAAUAAUGAGUUUUGAUAUCAUCAAUUGAGAAUUUAUUUACAUUUAGAAGGAUUAUAUUAUUAUUAUAGUACACACAAACAUUUACAUGUGUUUACUUGCUCUUGAAUAUGAACUAUUUCAUUUCAUUUUUCUUUUUUGCCUUUUCAUUUUCUUUUCUUUCAUUUUCAUGGCUGGACAAACUCCUUAUUUGAUUCUAAAGUAACAAUUGGUGCAAUUUGUGUAAUUGCUUGAUGCUAUAUAGUUGCAAUUGAUCAAUCAAACUUAGUUGGUAAUGACAUUCAUGUCCAAAUUAAAAUAAUCAUAUGACUAACUACACAAAUAUUAAUAUAUGGCAUUGUAACUGUACACCUCGAACUCACACGUAUAACUAAAAAAAUUAAUAAAAAAAACUCCACACAUGUGUAAAUAUAUAAUGUAUGCAUACAUAAUCACAUAUUCAUUGUUUUGUGUUGUAAACUUUAGUUUCCUCAAGGAAAAAAUCCUUACUUUAUACUUUUGACAUCUAUCUUUUUAUGAUGUUUUAAUAAAAUAUCUUAAGUUCAAUAUAGUUGGUUAGAAAAACCAAGAUUAAAAUGCUAUGACGAUAAACAUGACAACAGUAAUUCUUCAUAAAAAAAUUUGGCGGCUCUAAAUGGAGCGAGCUGCAAAGGCUAGAGCUCCAAGACCAAUGGUGACCGCAAUGGUGGCUCCAUACUUGGUGCCAGAGUCUGCCACAUUCACGCAAGAAUCGAGCAUGGAGUAGCCAGCCGAGUAGAGCUUGCUUCCAGCGAUGUUGUAAAGAGCACGAACUGGAGCGAGCAGUGACUGGUAUGCAUAUGGGAGGUAUUCGCUUGCACCAAGGGCAUCGAACAGAGAAUCUAAGAACCAUUCGCUGUGAACAGAGGCCACUACGUUAUUGACAAGAAUGUCGCCCGACAGUGUCAAGGGGUUGUAGAGUCCCAGCUUGUCAACCUUUGAGAUCUCUGCGUAUAUCAAGAUUGUGUUAUUACAGAGCAUUAAGAGGUGUGGUUUCUUGUACCUGUGAUUGGUGAGGCUCCAGAGAUUGUGGACAGGCUAUCGCCAACUUUGAGAUCAGCAGCUCGCUUGUAAAUUAUCUCUCCUUUGGUGUUAACUGGGACAAAGUGACCGGCUGUAAGCUCCAAGGUGUUGGCUUCGGCCUUGACUUGCACGAAUUCAGAGACAACGUCUAGAUCCUUGUGACCAAAUGCGUAGAUAUCCGAAAAUGAAUUCUUCCCAACAGCAACC